AUUGAACGCUGGCGGCAGGCUUAACACAUGCAAGUCGAGCGGUAACAGGAGAAGCUUGCUUCUCGCUGACGAGCGGCGGACGGGUGAGUAAUCCUUAGGAAUCUACCUAGUAGUGGGGGAUAGCUCGGGGAAACUCGAAUUAAUACCGCAUACGACCUACGGGAGAAAGGGGGCAACUUGUUGCUCUCGCUAUUAGACGAGCCUAAGGCGGAUUAGCUAGAUGGUGGGGUAAAGGCCUACCAUGGCGACGAUCUGUAGCUGGGCUGAGAGGAUGACCAGCCACACCGGGACUGAGACACGGCCCGGACUCCUACGGGAGGCAGCAGUGGGGAAUAUUGGACAAUGGGGGCAACCCUGAUCCAGCCAUGCCGCGUGUGUGAAGAAGGCCUUUUGGUUGUAAAGCACUUUAAGCAGUGAAGAAGACUCUAGGGUUAAUACCCUUAGACGAUGACAUUAGCUGCAGAAUAAGCACCGGCUAACUCUGUGCCAGCCGCCGCGGUAA
rnacentral:rRNA from 1 species